rnacentral:rRNA from 1 species
AUUGAACGCUGGCGGCAUGCCUUACACAUGCAAGUCGAACGGCAGCACGGGAGCAAUCCUGGUGGCGAGUGGCGAACGGGUGAGUAAUAUAUCGGAACGUGCCCGGUCGUGGGGGAUAACGUAGCGAAAGCUACGCUAAUACCGCAUACGAUCUACGGAUGAAANCGGGGGAUCGCAAGACCUCGCGCGAUUGGAGCGGCCGAUAUCAGAUUAGGUAGUCGGUGAGGUAAAGGCUCACCAAGCCGACGAUCUGUAGCUGGUCUGAGAGGACGACCCAGCCACACUGGGACUGAGACACGGCCCAGACUCCUACGGGAGGCAGCAGUGGGGAAUUUUUGGACAAUGGGCGCAAGCCUGAUCCAGCAAUGCCGCGUGCAGGAUGAAGGCCUUCGGGUUGUAAACUGCUUUUGUACGGAACGAAACGGUGAGCUCUAAUACAGUUUGCUAAUGACGGUACCGUAAGAAUAAGCACCGGCUAACUACGUG